GUCAUGCUCCUUAAGUGCUUGAAAUUUCUCAAUUAAAAUCUCUACGCCAUGACUAUUCAUGUUUUCCUUGUCGUCACGACGGUAGUUGAAGAAAUCCCUUUGCGUAAAUGGACAGCUAGAGAAGCCCCCUGAUUGCAUAGCCACGUACGAAUAUUGCUGACUAGGAGGUAUGUUUGUUGCAUCCAAAUUGCUUAUCAAAUUCCUUGCAUAUGGUGUUAUUUCCCUAUUUAUCUUCAAGAACCUUUUUUUGGAUGGCGUCGACAUAUCAUGGUUGUGAUUAUCGUUGAAGAUAGAUAUCAUCCACCUAUCUCCUUUUAUCCUAAUGGAUAGAAAAGCUCUGCAUCCUGUUCUCGAAUUUCUAAUGUGUCUAGGCUUGGUAGAUAUACUGCUUGGAUUUUCUUAUUUUUCUACUAUUGGUAUUUUGGCUUUUGAGGUACCCUCCUUCGAGCAAAUGUAGGUCUUCUUACGGAGACCUUUCUUUGAAUGUCUAGUUGAGCCUUUUCGCACUAAGAAUCAUUUCUGCCCCGCAUAUGCGUAAUAAAUAUCCUCCGCCUCUUUUAUUGAGUCAAAUAUCAUCUCAACCUAGGAUGUUGGAUUAUUCUGAAAAAAUCGGAAAGACCAAUUAAUAACAACUUCAUGCUUACAUAGAUUGUUUGUGAGGUAGAUUUAUGCAGGGUUCUAGUUUUACCUGAUGCUAUCAAUCUCCAUAUUAUCGCUCUGGAACAUUCCGUCCGGAUCUUCGCAAUUUGAAAAAUAAUUAUGUGACCUGAAUAUUCAGUAAUGUCAAUUUUCAUAUGAUGGGGGACGCACAACGAUCAUAUGACAAUAAAAAUACAGUAAUGGAAGAUCAUAUUAUCAUGUAUUCAACAGAUUCAUUACCUGUCUGGUGUGUGUAAAUCCUUAUCUGUGUUUUGACUAACACUUAAUAUUAGUUCGUCAGAAUCUAUAAAAAUAUUAGAUAUUUAGGAAAUUCUAACGUACUCGAUAAUGAGAAAUCAAUGUAUGAUGAUGUUGAAUUUUUAAAUACCUUUAUUUCGUGAUGCAUUAUUCUCACCAAUGAUCUGUUUAGAAAAUUUAGAAGAAUGAAUUUUAGACUUGUCCAUUUUCAGCUUGUAGAAUUAUUUUAAUAAAAUGCAAAUCAAAUUUCUUAUCCUUGCUUAUUAUUAUUAAAUCAACGAAAAUCAAAAUACCGCAACCAUGUAUUUUAAGUAUGUCUGCUAAGUGUAACGUGACCAGUAGAGUUGGAUGUUGACUUGAAGCAGCUACAACCGGAAGUGGGUACUCAUGGCGAGUUGAACAGAGAGACACACGGGAAGAUGCCAGACCAGAUGCCCCGGCGAUCAGGACGCAGGACCACCUCCACCCAGCAACCCGAUUACGUUUAUGGGAAUUAGUUAGUCGUGCUCUGAUUUUGUUAUUGUACGCACUUUAUGUUUUAACAAUUCUUAUUAUAAAUAAAGGAACUCUCGACGGAGAGCGACAUCGAU
rnacentral:lncRNA from 1 species